UACGGUGCCCGACGCUGGUUAAAGUGUAGUAUCUGUUCUUAUCAGCUUAAUAUCUGGUAAGGGUUGUAUUUGGACCCAAGAUAUUAAACUUAUUUUGGGAAGUUAAUGGAGUGCUUGAAGCCUGCUUCACCUCCACCGCGGGUCGGCUUUGUAUUGCACAAUCUUCUGGAUUUUUUGGUCUACGGACA